UAGAAAAAUACCUUCUCCCAAGAACAGAAU
rnacentral:piRNA from 1 species